rnacentral:rRNA from 1 species
GACAGAGGGUGCAAACGUUAAUCGGAAUUACUGGGCGUAAAGCGUGCGUAGGCGGUUCGUUAAGUCUGUUGUGAAAGCCCCGGGCUCAACCUGGGAAUGGCAAUGGAUACUGGCGAGCUAGAGUGUGUCAGAGGAUGGUGGAAUUCCCGGUGUAGCGGUGAAAUGUGUAGAGAUCGGGAGGAACACCGGUGGCGAAGGCGGGUCUCUGGGCAUCUCCUGACGCUGAGGCGCGAAAGCGUGGGGAGCAAACGGG